CGGCGUGUGUGACUGUGCAGUUGCAUGAUUGCAGUUUGCAUCGUACGAUGCCGCAGACAUUCAUAAAGAAAUGAAAUAUUGUGCAGUUGAUUUAUGCAGCUGAUAUAUAUAUAUAUAUAAUAUAUAUUAUAUAUGUGUGUGUGUGUGUGUGUGUGUUACAGAGAGAUAUAUAUGUAUACAUAUAUAGCUGCUAUAUAGCUUAUACACUGUGUGAUACGUGUACGGCUCAAACGACUGUACGUGCUGAGUGCAAAAUAAAAUUCUACUGAAAUUUGCUGCGCCGUCGCGCUUCAUCCUUCACUGGUUUGCUGUUUUUGCAAACUACAGUCCCAACAUUCGUAACUGUCGUAAGCACCUUUGAAACAGAGUAGCCUCUCGUAUAAGGGAGACUCGAUCAGUUUUAACUGUAGUAUGUGUAGAAAGCUUAGUCUCUCUGAAUUUAUGAUCAAUAAAUAAAUACCUUUCAUUUUCAUGUGUUGAGUGGCAAUCUGUAGUCUGUAGACAUUAAACCUGGCGUCUUACAAGUGUUGGUACUAUUAGUAACGGAUGAAAAGCCGAUGAAGACGCACCAUGUCUGAAAGUAAUAAUGCCAUAAAUUGAGUGAACAAGAAAGAAAGAGAGCAAGUCAUAUAGAUUGUUGCCCGACGUAGACGGACGACACAUAGCAAUCAAUUGCAGUUUACACAUAAGUUCGUAGUCGACUCUCUGCGUUUGGCAGAUAAUGCGGCCGCUGAUCGAAUUUUUUGGAAAACGACAACAAGCUGCCUCAACUGUCGACUUAAACGACGACCCAGCAUCUGCCUUUUAUUAUGCAUUUCGAAGAUUCAAUGCAAGAACGAUCGAUUUCAAGCAUGAAUAAGUCUGUUGAAAAUCUACUUCUUUCCAGUCAUGAAGUUAUUACUAGUAUUAAUUCUUCGUCGCUUUCCGGUUAUAGUUCAACUGCAAACUUGACAAAUGGGGCUUACAAUGAAUCUGCACAGGAUGUUUCUUCAGGAGGAGAAAAUGAGCGGACAAGCCCAAUUUCAAGUCCAAAUUUGUCCCCAAAACCAAGUCCUAGAUUUGGUAAAAGAAAAGAUAAAGAUAAAUCACAUAAGGACCAUAAAGAUCACAAAGACCACAAGGAUCACAUUGAUCAUAAAGAUCAUUCUAUGAAGAGUAAAGAAUCUGAUUGUACUCCAUAUUCACAAAAAGAUAUAAGCUUAACCAAGCUAAAUGAUCAACAAAUGCCGGAAAUUACAAAUCUGUCUUCUAAGUCGGAUGGAAAAUUUGAAGGAAGAAAAGACAGAGGAAGUGAUCGUAGUAGUAAGAAAAAGUCAUGGUACUCUAAUAUUCUUUAUCCUACAUACAAAUCUCGCUCUGAUGAUUUCAAAAGAAUAUUUAAAGAUGUACCAGAUGAAGAAAGACUUGUUGUUGAUUACUCUUGCGCGUUGCAACGAGAAAUAUUAGUUCAUGGGAGACUGUAUGUUUCACAAAAUUAUGUAUGUUUUUAUGCUAACAUUUUUAUGUGGGAAACACUUGUCUCUUUGCGUUGGAAAGAUGUUACUUCAAUGACUAAAGAAAAAACAGCUCUUGUAAUUCCAAAUGCUAUAUUAAUUUCUACUGCCAAUGAUAAAUUCUUUCUAACAUCUUUUGGGUCACGCGAUAAAACAUUUAUGAUGUUAUUCAAAGUUUGGCAAAAUGCUCUCAUGGGACAGAUUGGAAAAAGCGAAUGGAAGCCUAAGUGCAAGAGUAAAAAGUGUAAUUUAGAGUCAAUGAGUAUGACUGAAAUGUGGCAGCUCGUUCAUGAUUGUUAUGGAGAAGAACUGGGGCUAACAUCUGAUGACGAGGAUUUUGCAUCACGUCAAUUAGCAGUUGCAAGUACAGAAAAACUCUCAACGCAACUUUCUUUAGAAUCGUUUUCAGAAGCUGAUGUGAAAAUUGGAAAUCCUGUAUCAUCUGAUGCUCUAGCAGAAUCACCACUUACUCCUUCAUCACCAAUACACUCAACUACUGGUACAAGACCUGAUGGAUCAGUCGACCCUACAGAUCUUAGUGAUACUAGUGAAAGUGAAGAAGAAAAAAAUUCAUGUGGUAGGAUAAGUUUAGUCAGUACAGCGGUCUGUACAGCUUCACAUGAGGGUAGACCUCUCAUAAAAGCAACUUUACCAAUCCAUAUAGAUCAGUUAUUCACUCUUCUCUUCACAAAUUCGAAAUUUUUUCUGGACUUUCAUACAGCUAGAAAAACUACAGACUUGAUUCAACCUGCUUGGACUCAAGAUGAUGCUACGGGUCAAAAACUAAGAACAGUUUCUUUAACUGUUUCACUCACUCAAGCUGUAGGCCCAAGAUCUUCCCAAGUGACAGAAACUCAAGUGAUGCUCCCAUGCAGUACCCCAGGUCAUUUAUAUUGCAUCGAUGUUGAAACUACAAAUGCAGGGAUACCGUAUGCUGAUUCAUUUAGUGUUUUGUCGCAUUAUUGUUUAACUAGUAUUUCAGAAACUGAAACAACCUUUGAAGUGUUCGCCGAAAUCAAGUAUAAAAAGAAUGUUUGGGGUAUAGUUAAAAGCUUCAUUGAAAAAAAUUGUUGGGCUGGUAUGCAAGAAUAUUUGAAUAGUUUAAUAAAAGCUUUAGCGGUAGAAUGCGAAGAAAUUGGUGCAGGAGCUGUGGGUAUCAAACGGAAAACGAGACGGCGACGACGUGUUGCAGCCACUGGUGUUACCAUAAAAACGCAUGCUCCUGAUCAUACAGCCUUUAACCACCAAUCGCCUGUUGUAGAGCUGCCUUUAUCACGCAAUAUUACUGCUUCUGUAGAUUUACGACCUGAAAGCAGUCCUGUCGUUAGUUAUAUUCUCUUGAUUGCUGUACUGUGUUUAAUGGCUAUAAAUGGUUUACUAUACUAUAAAUUGUGGAAUAUAGACCAAGCUGCCACAUACACAGUCAUGGAUCUGCAUGUUUUAAACAAUUAGAAGAACCGAAACACAGCAAAAGAAAGUUUUUUCAUAAAGUCAGUCAUUUCUUCAAUUUUUUUUAUUUUUUGGGACUGGUUCAAGAUUUCAGUAAAUAUCAUACAAAUAUGAAACAAUUUUCGCCGCCUGAUUUGAGACAAUUUUACGAAGGUUUAGCUUGUCACCCAGGGCGUUCAGUUUUUUAAACGCAACCCUGUUCGAACGCUAUUAAAUUAUUAAUGAAGGUGUAUUUUGUUUUGACAAAAAUUACUUGUAGUAAAAAAAUACACCAAAAACUGAAGAAGAUUGGAUAAGUUUACUACAACAACAAGAAAGUUUGCAUAACAUAGAAGUCAAAAAAUGGCAGAGAGUGUU
rnacentral:misc_RNA from 1 species